rnacentral:miRNA from 1 species
GUUUGAUUGGAAUUCUGUGACUUGUUAUUCCUUGUUCCUGCAUAACAAGUCACAGAAUUCCAAUCAAAC